rnacentral:rRNA from 1 species
AACGAACGCUGGCGGCGCGCUUAACACAUGCAAGUCGAACGAGAAGGCGUAGCAAUACGCUUGUACAGUGGCGAACGGGUGAGUAAUACGUGGGCGACCUACCCUCGAGUGGGGAAUAACCCGCCGAAAGGCGGGCUAAUGCCGCGUACGCUUCCAUCUUUAUGGAGGUGGAAGGAAAGCCGUGCCGUGGGCACGGCGCUCAAGGAUGGGCUCACGUCCUAUCAGCUUGUUGGAGGGUAACGGCCUACCAAGGCUCCGACGGGUAGCUGGUCUGAGAGGACGAUCAGCCACACUGGCACUGCGACACGGGCCAGACUCCUACGGGAGGCAGCAGUGAGGAGUAUUGCGCAAUGGGCGAAAGCCUGACGCAGCGACGCCGCGGUGGGGGAUGGAAGGUC